CAAGAAGGAGGUACGCAAGAAGAAAGUGAGUAGGGAAAUACAUUAAGCUAAUUAGGAUAGUAGCGCCCGCUGGCUGAUCUAGUAAGGCCUCGUGAGAUGGCAAUAGCGUCUUGCCUGCCGACGACGAAGAGCAAUCACAGCACGCCAUCAAAAUGCCCGAAGGCGACUGGGAAAAUGGCAAGUCACAGGUGCUAUGUGAAGGGCGGAAGUCAGGGACGGAGAACUCCUUCGUCUGCCGCUACUGCCAGAGGGUCUUCCGCAAAAGUUACAACCUCCUGAUCCACGAACGCUCUCACGAGGACCACGCCAAGUGCCACUACGACGUCUUCAGGGUUCGUUCCAGCUUACAGGUGUAUGGGAUGUCAUGAACCCCUAAUUAGUAGAGCAAGGAGCUAAAGAAUUACAAUUACGCGACGCUCGCAUACAAACUGUGGUAAUGUGGACAUCCCCUUCGUCAUCGUAGUGCCAAAGGAUCUGCCGGCAAAUUGGACCUUUCGUAGUGUGGCACACACCCCUCCAAAAAAAAAAUACUCAAAAAAAAAAAUUAAAUCCGUCCAUUGUUUUGCUUCCGAUCACCACCAGAAUAUCCUAAUUUUUUCCUUAUUUCUGACUAAUUGCUUCCUUUUUUCAGUCUUUGCAUUUUUAUAUUAGAAGUAAAUCAAACGAUUCAAACUUCUUUAGCGUUUGAAAGAUACGCUUCUAUUCUGAUAUCAUCACCUCAAACUCACUGACAACAAAAUUUCUGAAGACCGUUCGGAACAGAUUUUGAAAUGAAAGAUACACCUUCUGUCUAGAUCAUUUUGUUUUCAAUAUGACUUUUUGAAUUUAUUACAUUUAUGAUAAUCACAUAAUGCUGCAUUCUCAAGACGGUCAACUACUUAAUAUUUUAAAAAGCCAUACAGGUUUCAACUGGUGCUGUCUGGAAGAGAGUGAAAAUAGAUUAUGACUUGAAGUAACAUUGAGAAGCUCUUCCAUACAAACUUUUAUAACGUUGAUUAUAUUUCUGAAAUGAGUGUACAUCGAGAUUUUGAUUCAUUCGACGUUCGUAGUGUCAAUAGAACGCUUCAGUCGCGUUCUUUUUCUGUAAGAAGUGUAUCUGACUUAAUUUUUUUUCUGACUGAUAUCCUCUCUCUUUUUUCGCUCUCCUAUUCUGUUCAGGUCAUUCCAGAAGCCUUUGCUCAUCUCGGCUUUAUUCUGUCGCUCGGCGGAAAUGCAAAAACAAAGCUUUCGAAAUUCCAGAUAUGAAAAAUAACUCGGUUAGUAUCCAGAAAUAAUACCGACAUCAGAAGAUAAAGCAGAAUAUAGUUUGCUUCUUUAUGCUUUUCUUAAUUUUUUAUUCUUUUUUUACCGUGAGGUUUUUGUUACAAUGUAAGAGUUGAAUGUGACCGUUUUAGCAUAACACUUAUUAGAUCCAAUUGCAAUAACCAGUAAUUUUACCAGUUUCAAGAUCUUCCAUAUUUUCAGUUAUAUAUCUCUCUCUUUUUUUUCGGUUACACUUUUAUUUUUUGGCUUGCAAUCAAAUAGCAUCAGCAAGAUAUCAUAAUUACAGCGCGUGAAUGUACACACAGCAAAACAACAGUUAUUAUUCAUAUAUAAAUACUGUUAAUACUGAUAGUUAUAGUCAUCCUUGUUUUAUAUCAUUUUGAGGAUUUAAUGAUUUGUUCUUCUCUAUCAAAGUGAGAACCAUUCUGCUUCGUUGAUUGGAGCACCGGCAACCACUUCUGCUUAUCUCGAACUGCAAUGAGAUGUGAUAAGUGAUUACGACAGAAAUACCGUUUUACGGUUGUCAUUAUUAUCGUUAAUAUUCUAGUGAUAGGACUCGAGGUCAUUUGAGAUGAGAAUGUGAAUCGAUAGGGACUUCAUUUUUCACCAAGCCUUGAAAUUGCUGGUGUUUGCUGCACCGCUCUCUUGGAACCAAAAUAGGAAUAUUGCGAGUCAACUAAGAUAGAUUUUGAUUUUACUUUGAGAUCACAUUCAUUCCCAAACUGACGACUGGUCUUCAGGAUUGCAAAAUGAUGCUGGCUAUUCCGAAUUCCUAUUUUAGAAGCUUCUAUUUUAUGUUUCUCUCCAUUUUUUUCCUUUGUAGAACGUUCUUUCGACCUCCAUUGAAGAAUCUUCCAUUUAUGACAGUGCUCCAUAUCUUUAGCUUUUUCUUUGGGGUUUCGUUUUUUCUACCAGAGGAAAAGCUUGUUACGUAUCCUCAGCGCAAAAGGUGCUAAUAAAAAGGGGAAGACUUAAUUUAGUAUUUUUUUUGUUCUAUUAUUAUUAUCAUCCCGAUCUCAAAGUGGAACUCUACGCGACUAUAGAGUCAUAGAGAAUGGUUUCCUCGUUUUCCUUUUCAGUUUCCCGUUUUCUGUUCCGCUGUCUGAGGAGGAAAUCCAGCGAGUGUCACAAGUUUAUUUUUCUCUGCCUGUCUCUGUCUGUCUGUUCGUCUGUCUCUGUUCAUACGUGCCAAUCCAGUGGUUGCAAAUAAAAAAAAUAUGCUUGCAUCAUAUAGGAAUAUAUCGUUAUAAGAUUAUAUGGAAAGCCAAGCAAAAAAGAAAAGCUUUUUCAGUUUUAAGUUCAGUAGUCACUCGGUUUCUGUCAAGAAUCCCAUUUUUGUUUCGUCAAAAGGAUGAAAGUGAACGUUUCUUUGUUUUUUGCUUGACGCUCUCCUCUGGAAGGAAACCCAGUAAAAGCUUUAUCAUUUAUAUUAUAAAAAUUAUAUAGUGUAGGUAGAUUUAUAAAUAGAGUUAAGGCAAGAACUAAAUGUGAUACCUAUAACGUGGCCAGGAAUAGGCAUAGUGGCAUAGACCUAUGAGAAGGUAUAGUGACCUAUAGCCACUAUAGGCCUAUGUACAUUUAUAUGCCUAUAGUUAUCAUAUGUGGAUUCUUAUAAUUGUGCCAUUUGGAUUGUCACUCAGUAUAAUGUGUUGUAUUUUAGAGAAAGAAUAAAAAUCGCUUCGCUUUAU